rnacentral:rRNA from 1 species
AUUGAACGCUGGCGGCAGGCCUAACACAUGCAAGUCGAGCGAGCGGCGGACGGGUGAGUAAUGUCUGGGAAACUGCCUGAUGGAGGGGGAUAAAUACUGGAAACGGUAGUUAAUACCGCACACCAUCUCAUGUGCCCAGAUGGGAUUAGCUGGUUGGGGGGGUAACGGCUCACCUAGGUGACGAACUCUAGCUGGUCAGAGAGGAUGACCAGCCAGACUGGAACUGAGACACGGGCCAGACUCCACCGAGUGGCAGCAGUGGGGAAUAUGGCACAAUGGGGGCAAGCCUGAUGCAGCCAUGCCGCGUGUGUGAAGAAGGCCUUCGGGUUGUAAAGCACUUUCAGCGGGGAGGGGUUGCCCGCAGGAGAAGCACGGGCUAACUCCGUGCCAGCGGCCGCGGUAAUUC